rnacentral:rRNA from 1 species
UACGAAGGGGGCUAGCGUUGUUCGGAAUUACUGGGCGUAAAGCGCACGUAGGCGGAUCGAUCAGUCAGGGGUGAAACCCCAGGGCUCAACCCUGGAACUGCCUUUGAUACUGUCGAUCUGGAGUAUGGAAUAGGUGAGUGGAAUUCCGAGUGUAGAGGUGAAAUUCGUAGAUAUUCGGAGGAACACCAGUGGCGAAGGCGGCUCACUGGUCCAUUACUGACGCUGAGGUGCGAAAGCGUGGGGAGCAAACAGG